AUUGAACGCUGGCGGCAGGCCUAACACAUGCAAGUCGAGCGGAUGAAGGGAGCUUGCUCCUGGAUUCAGCAGCGGACGGGUGAGUAAUGCCUAGGAAUCUGCCUGGUAGUGGGGGAUAACGUCCGGAAACGGGCGCUAAUACCGCAUACGUCCUGAGGGAGAAAGAGGGGGAUCUUCGGACCUCACGCUAUCAGAUGAGCCUAGGUCGGAUUAGCUAGUUGGUGGGGUAAAGGCCUACCAAGGCGACGAUCCGUAACUGGUCUGAGAGGAUGAUCAGUCACAUGGGAACUGAGACACGGUCCAGACUCCUACGGGAGGCAGCAGUGGGGAAUAUUGGACAAUGGGCGAAAGCCUGAUCCAGCCAUGCCGCGUGUGUGAAGAAGGUCUUCGGAUUGUAAAGCACUUUAAGUUGGGAGGAAGGGCAGUAAGUUAAUACCUUGCUGUUUUGACGGUACCAACAGAAUAAGCACCGGCUAACUUCGUG
rnacentral:rRNA from 1 species